AUGGACGAAAGUCUGAUGGAGCAACGCCGCGUGAGUGAAGAAGGUUUUCGGAUCGUAAAGCUCUGUUGUUGGUGAAGAAGAUAGAGGUAGUAACUGGCCUUUAUUUGACGGUAAUCAACCAGAAAGUCACGGCUAACUACGUGCCAGCAGCCGCGGUAAUACGUAGGUGGCAAGCGUUGUCCGGAUUUAUUGGGCGUAAAGCGAGCGCAGGCGGAAGAAUAAGUCUGAUGUGAAAGCCCUCGGCUUAACCGAGGAACUGCAUCGGAAACUGUUUUUCUUGAGUGCAGAAGAGGAGAGUGGAACUCCAUGUGUAGCGGUGGAAUGCGUAGAUAUAUGGAAGAACACCAGUGGCGAAGGCGGCUCUCUGGUCUGCAACUGACGCUGAGGCUCGAAAGCAUGGGUAGCGAACAGGAUUAGAUACCCUGGUAGUCCAUGCCGUAAACGAUGAGUGCUAAGUGUUGGGAGGUUUCCGCCUCUCAGUGCUGCAGCUAACGCAUUAAGCACUCCGCCUGGGGAGUACGACCGCAAGGUUGAAACUCAAAGGAAUUGACGGGGGCCCGCACAAGCGGUG
rnacentral:rRNA from 1 species